AUACAGACAAGUACAUAUUAUAACAGAUACAGACAAGUACAUAUUAUUCCACGAUCAACUCGGUCUAACCGGGGAUUUGGCUUGUCGGAGUCAUGGACUUUGCUUCCAUUGCGCAACUAACCUAGCAAGAGCUGCAGUGGAAGAACCAGACUCGGCCCAAGCCUCUAAACUUCUCUCUCUCAUCUUCCAGCUCUUUUCUCUCAGUUCUCUCCCCUUGUUCGACUCCAUCAGCUCUCGCACUCGUCUCUCCAACUCAUCCCCUCUCACAAACCCAUCCUCGUCUCUCUGCUCGACUCCAAUCGCCAUCUUCAUAUCCUCCACCAACACAUUCCUAUUAAGAUGUUGCUCAGCAUAUACCGGCCAUGCCACCAUCGGCACCCCUGCAACCACCGCUUCUAACACCGAGUUCCACCCACAGUGUGUAACGAACCCGCCAACCGAGUCAUGAUUCAGCACUGCUACUUGUGGUGCCCAUGACUUCACCACCAUGGCUCUAUCUUUAACUCUGUUCAAGAACCCGUCUGGCAACAUUCCUUCCAAAUCAAAAUCGCUCAUAUCAGUUGUCUGCUUACUUUUCUCAUCAUAUGGUGGAUUUUUCACUACCCACAUGAACCUUUGGCCGCUUCUCUCCAAACCAUUAGCCAUCUCUUUAACUUGUUCUAUAGAGAAAGAUCCACGGCUUCCAAAGCACAGAAACACCACACUCUUGCUUGGUUGUUUAUCAAGCCAAGAUAGGCAAUCAUGUUGAGCUGCAGAAGCACUACUACUACCCUCAGCAAUCAAAGGUCCAAUACAGUAAAUAGGAGGGGUUGAUGCAUCAGGAACGCAUACUCCAUCUGCAAUUGUCUUGAUGGCUUUUGGCUCGAGAUCAUUAAAGGAAUUAACAAUAAUUCCAUCAGCUUUUGGGAGAUUGGAACAAAAGUAUAGCAUAUCAUAAUAGGCAGGAUCAUCUCUAGAAAGCAUUGGUUCUGGCAUGUGAAUAGCUUUGAGAGGUGGCAAGUUAGGGAAAUUAAGAAGAGUGCCUGCGAGAUCUUUGAAGCUCUUGGUGUGUUGUUCAUGGAUUUUAGGGAAAUAUAAGAAGGCAGAAAGACAAGCAGCACCAGAAGCGAAAAAAUAGUAAGUGGGGAUUUUGAGAUCUUUACCUACAGAAAGAGCAGAAGUGCAGAAGAGGUCAAUAACAAAAGCGCAAAUAUUACAUUCCUUGGAGAUUUCUUGAAGAAACUCAAGAACAUAGGACUUGUUAAGGAGUAUGCACUCAAAGACUAUGGCAACGCGGCUGCGAGAGAGGGUGGCGUCGUAGGGGACAGGAGGGAAACGGCGGAAGGAGAUAGAAGGGUAGGUUUGAGAGAUGGUGUUGACGUAAGAGAUGAGGCCCGGGGUUUCCAAGAAUUCGACGGUGAUAAGGAGGAUGGCUACGGAGAAUUGGUUGCCGUAGCGGUGGAGGAUAAGCUUGCCUAGCUCUACCAUGGAGACUACGUGGCCCACGCCUGGAGCUGGGCACAGUACUAUGGUGUCCUGCAUUGGAUUGGUGUUUGGAAUUUUCAGAAAAGAAAACUAUUUUGGUGGGUUUGCUGAAUGGG
rnacentral:misc_RNA from 1 species